ACUAUAAUUCUCAAGAACCUUUAUCAUUUUAUGUUUUAGUCUGACUUGGUUGAAUACGUUUUCUUCCUUUACUUGAGAAACGAGAGUAGAGAAGGGAGAAUAUCAAGAGGGAGAACUCAGAACAUAUUGUAGCCUGAGCUAACUAAAUAUAGCAAGUCUUAUCUUAUUAGGUGAGGUCAAUUACACGAAUUGCACAAUACCAUUGAGCUAACUAAAUAUCACCUGUAAUUGACAAAUUUUAAAUGGCAGUUACUGAUACAUGGGAUUUAGAAAUAGUAAGGGUAAUUAGGGAAAUUAGGGGGUAAAAGUGUAGUUUGGGAAUAUAGUAAAUAUCUCUAUAAAUAGGGUCCUAAUGAUGUAAUGCGGGUCUAUUGAAUAAUGUUCUUCUUUUAUUCUCUUUUCUCCUUCCGCUUGUAACAGUUACGAAACAUUUAUGAUGAUGUUUAAUUUAGAAAUGAUCUUUAUGUUUAUCUUUAAACUUAUGAUAGAGGUGUUAUAAAUGAUUUACCAGGCUCUUGGCUUGUAUGGUUUUGAAUUUGUCUGAGUGUUUGGCCUUCACUGACCAUGUUUAUUCAACAAGAGGACAAUAGGAUACAAAAUGGCAUGAUGCCAUGAAUUGUUUAGUCAGGAAUAAAUUUGUUAGAUUAUCAUCAUGAUAACAAAAUACCGGAGGACUGAGAAUUUGUGAGACAUGCACGUCAAGCUAUAAAAAUAUCACUAAUCAAUUUAGAAUGAAUUUUUGAAUUGCACACUAGUUGUACAGAUUAUGGCAGGUGAAUAAUAAUAUCUAACAGAGAAGGAAAUUGUUUUCAAGACGAAAAUAAAAAUCAACAAUAGAUUAAAAUUUUCCCGUCUUGAUUUCGUCUGAUUCAGCAUCAAACUGAGUGAUUGAUGCUUGAGCUUCCAGUAUUUGAAGAAAUGAAAGUUAUAUCUUUCCUCUUCUUUUUUCUGAACCAACUUACAUUAUUGAUGCUUCUUCUUGUUUUUUUUUUUUUUGGGGUGGGUUAACCUAGCUCUACAAAGCUCAGAGAAACGUCAUACUGUGUGCUUCAGCAUGUCUUCUAUACUGGUCUAUCUACCGGAUCUGUAAGUAUCAGAAGGAUGUCCAAAGUCUGGAGGAAGUGGAGAAGAGAUACAAGGAUCAGUAGCAUUCUCGUUGUGCUAAUUGAGGACUCGAGUCUCCUGCUAUAGUAUAGAGAGACUCUACGGAUAUGAAACCGUAAUUCACUAAAUCGUCCAUAAUUUUAAAUUUCCAAUCAUUUUGUGCUGGCUGAACUCAUAAUUAAACGUUUCACAGAUUCUAUGUAGUUAAAUUAUUCUCCCUUUUCUGUUGAGAUCA